rnacentral:snRNA from 1 species
UAUAUGGUUCUGAGACCAUC